rnacentral:lncRNA from 1 species
GUCAUGGGAUCUGCAGUUCAGCAAGAUGAAAGGGAUAAAGCAGAGCCCGCUGGCACUAAGAAAAGCUUCCAGCACACAAUCCACAGCACAGCUUGGGAACCAGGAGAGCUUCGGAUCCAGCCGCUCAGUCCCAGCGUGGAGGAGCCACCGGCAGUGCCCUGUGAAAAAAAACAGAGGAAAACAAGGUGAUCUACAUUUAACAAAAGAAUGUGUGGCCUGGGAGGCAAGAGGGCAGCUACCUACCUGCUGAAAGAGAACUUUCUGGAUAUCCCUGCAUAUAUAUAAGCUCAGCUCUGCCUUUGAUGUUCAGCAACCGAUCACUGAUCAGAUUACAGGCAUUUCAUCUCCCUGCUCGUCUGUCUUUGAUCUGCAUGGUUAAUUUCAUUUUCUUGGAUUUGAAGUUUUGUCUGGGCUUGUGCUGACACACAUUUUUUGGGAGGUGGAAGCAUUUGGCACAGAAGUGCUGCCAAGGAGAGACUAAGCUGCCGAGGGUGAGUUCUGGGAAGAACUGGCAGUUGCAGCCUGAUUGAGAGGACCGCUGUGAUCUGUGAAGAGGGUGAGGAGCGGCCUGCUGGCUGUGUGUCCUGUCUCCUGCGCUGCACAGACCCUCCAGCUCUGCCUCUGAAGUUGUCCCAGCACAUCCCCUCACUUGCUGAAAUCAAGACUCACAGCUUGGAUGGAGAAGGUAGUUUAAUGCCAUCCAUGGUUACUUCAGUCUGUUCUUUGAUAAGGGCAAGAGAGGUCAGGUGAGCAUAAAGUGACUUUGUAGAACCAUUCCCUCCAACAUAAACCACCAUCUUUGAGACGCUUUCUGAUAAGUGUGCUUUUCUCCAUCCUGUUCAGUGUCCACAGUUCUUCAGCAGCCUGACAACAUGGGCUGCCGCCCAGCCAGCCCACUCCUUCCUUAGCUCUGCGUGGAAUGGUCCACCAUCUUGAUGGCAAAGGAGAGAGAGCAACAGGUCAAAGGUGGUCUGUUUGGUCAUUAAACUUAUGAAAACCGUCUGACCACAGAGACCCUCGAGCCAGCAUGUCACGAACUGGCAAAGAUCAGUGCAAGGGCUAUACUUUUCACCUUUUCUCCAUCAGUGCCGUG